AGCUGAGACAUAGGCAAUGCCUUUUCACCUUUUUAGCGAAGAGUCAGAGUUUGUAAACAAACCAUGCUAUGCUGGCUUAUUCACUAAACUGGCAAUUGUGGAGAGGUGAGAAUUACAAAUGAGGACGAAAUAGCAAUGCUAGAUAACACAGAUGUGUUUGAGCAUUUUUCAAGUUCUGCUAAAUGUCAAAUCUCCACAGUUCUCCAUUUAGUGAAUAGCGUCCAUCCCUCUGUUUUAUCAUCAGAUAAAUAUAAACUCCAGUUCGCUAACAUUACUGUACUUUGCUUUCACUCUGUCUCACCUCUAUAUCCCUUUUGUCUACAUUUCAAAGGAAGUCCCAUGCUGGUUCCAUACAUUCCGUGACAUCAGCAGCUCUGCUCAUUGUCAGUAACUGCGUGCACUGCAUUUGCCACACAAGUGAAUAAUCAUGUCAGUGAAGUUCCAAAAUCGAUACGUUGAUAUUUAAACACCCGUGGAAUCUUCCAAAAUAUACGUUGGUAUUUUAACACCCGUGGUAUCUUCUUACACACAGAGUUAUUCACUAAAGUGAGAAUUGUUGGGAAUUCAAAGUGAAUUUCAGCUUUAAGGUGAAAGUAGCCAAAUUGGAAAAAUUAUGCAAGUGAGCUAUGCUUCUAGUUUGAUUACUUGGGCCUUAAAUUUAAAAUUUACUUCAAAUAUCCAACAAUUCCCACUUUAGCAAAUAACCCUGAAAGACAAAUCUCCCAGAGCAGACUGAACCAGGUAUAUUAGAAAUACUUACAGGGUUAUUUAAUUUCUCACUUUUGUGAAUAAACUUGUUAGAUGUCCCAAAAAAUGCUGAAUGCACACACUCUAACUCACAUUAACAACAUAACUCACAUUAACAACUGCUAUGCACACUGGAAAUUCAUAUUCUGGAUAUGAAUGCACCUGCUUGAAAAAUUCUUCAAUUAAAAGUCCAUAGUCAAAUCCAGUAAAUGAUCUAAUCUGUCAGCACAGCAAAGUUACAUAGUUACAUAGCUGAAAAGAGAAAUGCAAGUUCAGCCUUUCUCACAUCUGUUUUUACUGUUGAUCCAAAAGAAGGCAAAACCUCAGUUCAAAGAGCUUCCAAUUUUGAAACAAACUAGGAAAAAUUCCUUCUUGACCAAAGAAUAGCAGUCAGAUCUCUCCUUGGAUCAAAAAAGGUAUUAACCCACUAAUUAAAAAUUAUAAUCCUGAAUAUUAUGUUUUUGCAAGUAUUCAUCCGAUUGCUGUUCAAACAUUUAUAUAGACUCUGAUAAAACCACCUCUUCGGGCAGAUAAUGUCACAUUCUUAUUGCUCUUACUGUUAAAAACCCUUUCCUUGUGACCUUGAAUCCUAUGUAUAGUCGUGUUUUUUUUUUAAUAAAUGUCCAGACAAUGGUUUGUAUUGGCCCCAAAUAUAUUUGUAUAAUGCUAUCAUAUCCCCUCUGAGGAACUGUUUUUCCAAACCUUUCUUCAUGACUAAAAUGUUCCAUUCCUUUUCUUAAUUUUGUAGCCUGCCUGCAUAUUCAAGGUGUGGUCUUACCAGUGAUUUAUUAAGAGGCAAAAUUAUAUUUUCUAUAUGAGAAUUAAUACCCCUAUUUAUUCAUGACAGUAUGUUACAGAUCUUAGCAACUGCUAAUUGACAUUGCAAAUUGUUGCCUAGUUUGUUGUCUAUAACAAUUCCCAAAUCCUUCUCGAGUGUUGUUAUCCCUAAUUCGUGACCAUUUAGGGUAUGUGUUGAUUAUGCAUUCUUUACCCCAAAGUGCAUAACUUUGCUUUUUUUAUGCAUUCCAUUCCAUCUGUAUUUGAGUGCCCAGUGCCCAAUCUUCCUAAAUCCCUCUCUAGUGAUGCAAUAUCCUGCUCACAUUGUAUUACUUUAGAGAGAUUUGAGUCAUCAACAAACACUGAAAAAUUACUUUCAAAACCUAUGUCCAGAACCUUUAUAAAUAUGCUAAAUAGAAGUAGUCCCAGAACAGAACCCCAAUGGACACCACUUAACACUUUUGUCCCGCUUGAUUAAUUUCCCACUAACGACAGCUCUCUGUGCUCUAUCUUUAAGUCAAUGUUCAACCCAAGUAUGAGAAUUUUCAUCUAGACCAAUUUCUGCUAGUUUAACACUAACCUAUAUCAAACACCUUGGUAAAAUCCUAUGACCUAUGUUGCACAAAAUCAUACUGAUUAUUGCUAAUAACAAUGUUCUUUCCAAUUAAUUCCUGAAUAUUAUCCAUUAUUAAGUCUUCGAAUACUUUCCCAGCCACAGAAGUUAGGCUCCAAGGUCUACAAUUUCCAGGCAAGGAUUUUGUACCCUUUUUGAUAGGAACAACAUCUUCCUCCAUUCCUCCGGUACAUCCCUGAAAGAAAGAGGUUCACUUAUUUUCCCACUUAGCUCCUUAAGUACUCAUAGGUGAAUACCAGCAGGCCCUGGAGCUUUGUUUACGUUAACUUUCUUUAGUUGCUGCAGCACCUUGUCUUGAGUCAUCCAAUCACAAUUUCCCUGCAAUUUUUAUGCAGCAAUCAUUUACAUAUCUCAUGCCAUAGGAUCCUCUUUAAUAUAUAUUAAGGAAAAAUAGCUAUUUAAAAUGUCUGCAUUUUUCUAGACUUCAUUAACUAACACACCCUUCUCUGUUUUCAGUGUACCUAACACUUUCAUUUUUUUGUUUUUUAGAAUGUAUGUACUUAAAAGCUUUAAGUUAUGAAUUUAAACGUAUGGGGGUGGUUUUGUUCUCUUUGGCUAUCACUUUCUCACUUUCUAGUUUAGCCACUCUAAUGGCCUCUUUUCAUGCAUUAUUGGCUUUCUUAUAUCUUAUAUAGGAUCCCUUCGAUUUGUCCAAUUUAAAUGCUUCAAAUGUCCCUUUCUUGUUUUUAAUUGUUUGGUUUAUUUUCCCCAAAGCCACAUUGGUUUCAGUUUGUUUAUUUUAUAUUUAUUACCCAAUGGUAUAU
rnacentral:lncRNA from 1 species